UACGAAGGGUGCAAGCGUUACUCGGAAUUACUGGGCGUAAAGGGUGCGCAGGCGGCCAGGUGUGUCAGGUGUGAAAGCCCGGAGCUUAACUCCGGAAUUGCGCCUGAAACUACUUGGCUAGAGCAUUGGAGAGGGUAGCGGAAUUCACGGUGUAGCAGUGAAAUGCGUAGAUAUCGUGAGGAACACCAGAGGCGAAGGCGGCUACCUGGACAAUUGCUGACGCUCAGGCACGAAAGCGUGGGGAGCAAAAGGG
rnacentral:rRNA from 1 species